rnacentral:rRNA from 1 species
AAGGGCACCACAAGAACGCGUGGAGCAUGUGGCUUAAUUUGACUCAACGCGGGAAAUCUUACCGGGUCCGGACACACUGAGGAUUGACAGAUAUAUACACCGUCGGUACUUGUAUCGCGGUGUUGAAAGAUGCUAGUUCUUUCAUGAUUAUGUGAUAGGUGGUGCAUGGCCGUUCUUAGUUCGUGGAGUGAUCUGUCUGCUUAAUUGCGUAUCAUUAAAGAGACCUAGUAUACGCGUAAGACUUCGUUUACGGUUCGUGACCCCCUUCGGGCGUGUGUCGCACGUACGA